rnacentral:rRNA from 1 species
GAUGAACGCUGGCGGCGUGCUUAACACAUGCAAGUCGAACGGAAAGGCCCAAGCUUGCUUGGGUACUCGAGUGGCGAACGGGUGAGUAACACGUGGGUGAUCUGCCCUGCACUUCGGGAUAAGCCUGGGAAACUGGGUCUAAUACCGGAUAGGACCACUUCUUGGAUGUUGUGGUGGAAAGUUUUUUCGGUGUGGGAUGAGCUCGCGGCCUAUCGGCUUGUUGGUGGGGUAAUGGCCUACCAAGGCGUCGACGGGUAGCCGGCCGGAGGGGGUGUACGGCCACAUUGGGACUGAGAGACGGCCCAGACUCCGACGGGAGGGAGCAGGGGGGAAUAUUGCACAAGGGGCGCAAGCCGGAUGCAGCGACGCCGCGGGGGGGAGGACGGCCUUCGGGUUGUAAACUCCUUUCGCUAGGGACGAAGCGUUUUGUGACGGUACCUGGAGAAGAAGCACCGGCUAACUACGUG